rnacentral:rRNA from 1 species
AGUAAAAGUCGUAACAAGGUUUCCGUAGGUGAACCUGCGGAAGGAUCAUUACCGAACUGUCGACACGAGCUGUUGCUGGCCCCCGAAAGGGGACACGUGCACGCUCUGUUUACACAUCCACUCACACCUGUGCACCCUCUGUAGUUCUAUGGCCUUGGGGACCCUGUCCCCUUGCUGUGGUCCUACGUCUUUACACACACACAUCGUAACAAAGUCUCAUGGAAUGUAUGUCGCGUUUAACGCAAUACAAUACAACUUUCAGCAACGGAUCUCUUGGCUCUCGCAUCGAUGAAGAACGCAGCGAAAUGCGAUAAGUAAUGUGAAUUGCAGAAUUCAGUGAAUCAUCGAAUCUUUGAACGCACCUUGCGCCCUUUGGCUAUUCUGAAGGGCAUGCCUGUUUGAGUAUCAUGAACACCUCAACUCUCAUGGUCCGCCAUGAUGAGCUUGGACUUUGGGGGUCUUGCCGGCCUAGCGUCGGCUCCUCUCAAAUGGAUCAGCUUCCCCGUGUUUGGUGGCGUCACAGGUGUGAUAACUAUCUACGCUUGUGGUUUCCUGCCAUUAACCUUCAGCAAUGGAGGUUCGCUGGAGCUCACAGAUGUCUCUCCUUGGGGAGGACAGCUUUUGAAUGUCUGAUCUCAAAUCAGGUAGGACUACCCGCUGAACUUAAGCAU